UACGGAUGAUGCAAGCGUUAUCCGGAAUGAUUGGGCGUAAAGCGUCCGCAGGUGGCCCUGUAAGUCUGCUGUUAAAGAGUGAGGCUUAACCUCAUAAAAGCAGUGGAAACUACAGAGCUAGAGUGCGUUCGGGGCAGAAGGAAUUCCUGGUGUAGCGGUGAAAUGCGUAGAGAUCAGGAAGAACACCGGUGGCGAAGGCGUUCUGCUAGGCCGCAACUGACACUGAGGGACGAAAGCUAGGGGAGCGAAUGGG
rnacentral:rRNA from 1 species